rnacentral:rRNA from 1 species
GCAGCGAAGGGGCGACCUGGAGCGAAUCCCCAAAAGCCGUCUCAGUUCGGAUUGUACUCUGCAACUCGAGUGCAUGAAGGUGGAAUCGCUAGUAAUCGUGGAUCAGCAUGCCACGGUGAAUACGUUCCCGGGCCUUGUACACACCGCCCGUCACACCAUGGGAGUGGGAUGCAAAAGAAGUAGUUAGUCUAACCUUCGGGAGGGCGAUUACCACUUUGUGUUUCAUGACUGGGGUGAAGUCGUAACAAGGUAGCCGUAG